ensembl:lncRNA LINC00470 long intergenic non-protein coding RNA 470
CCGGCCUAAUAAAGGACAAUUUUUAAUAGCCACUGGACUAUUUAAGUGAUCUCUUCUGUCAGUUUCUUUUACCAUCAGAGGACACAGCAGCAAGGUGCCAUCCUAGAAGCAGAGAGCAGACCCUUACCAGACAACCAACCAGCUGGUGCCAUGAUCUUGGACUUCUCGGCCUCCAGAACUCAACACCACACCCUCCUGAUCACCAUAGCUUUAUGCAACAACAAGAAACAAAUUUAUUAGCUAACCUAACCACUAAUGACGCAAGAGACAAUUCUAAGGACUUUCAAAACAGCAAAGUAGGAGCAGCUGCUACCUCUAGGGAUGAGGGAUGCAAUUGUCCAAUUAUUGGUGAAAUUGUCAUUUCAUGCUAUUGGCUAUUUGAAAUUCCUCCUCUAAUUUCAGAAUAAAUCACUGAAAUUGACAUCGGCCAGUCUGAAUUUCAAGAAAUUACCUGCUGAAGACAAGAGGGAUCUCUUCUUCAGAUUUGCAGUCUGGGGAAGACACAGCCUCUACUGUACUUUAGAACCUGAGAUAUGGUGGUGGAGGGAGCCCUGGGUCGAGUGGUAAGAUUCACCCUUAGAGCCCACUUAUGUGUGCAUGAAGAACAAGACUAUUUUAAGCAACUGAACAAGGUCAGAGCUCCGGACUCCAGCCCCAUGCAACUUCAAAAUAUGACAAAUGUCUUGAAGGGGAGAUUGGCAUGCAGAUGAGGAAGGCCCUCUCGCCAACACAUUUGUAUUUCCUCUGUACUGUGAGACUGUGGGAGAUUUACUGCGACAUUUAGAAGCUUUCUUCCAAACUCCUGGGCCUCCGACACUGGUUCUAAACUCAGCAAAUGUUCUUUGGGAAAAACAGACAGUGCAUGUGAGGCCCCUCGAGUUUGGAAUUUAUGUCUCCAGCUUCACAUGGUCUCUCAAGUGCUUAUGCUUUUCUUCUCUCUGCCACCCACAUUCCCACAUCCCGCCCACCCCCCAACUUUCCUCCCUUCACCUUCCCAUGGAGACUUUUUGCCUGGGCUAAAUCUGAUCCUCAGCCCACUCUCAGAAUCGAUAAAUGCCCCUAGGUGAUUGUAAGCUCACCUAAGAUAUACUUUUUCUCCUCUAGAAUUUUAGUUUAUUAGAUUUUUCUAGUUGUCUUUGCAAAAGCGUUAACAGGCUCUGACUUCUGACAUUCAACUAGAUGUGGAAUAUCCAACCCCUAGCAUUUCAUGGAAUGUACUGACCAAGAUAAAAUGUGUUCUUAUUAAACAA